UACGGGGGAGCAAGCGUUAUCCGGAAUCAUUGGGCGUAAAGCGCCUGUAGGUUGUUUAAUAAGUCUGUUGUUAAAGACUAGGGCUUAACCCUAGAAAAGCAAUGGAAACUACUAGACUAGAGUAUGGCAGGGGUAGAGGGAAUUUCUAGUGUAGCGGUGAAAUGCGUAGAUAUUAGAAAGAACACCGGUGGCGAAAGCGCUCUACUGGACCAUUACUGACACUCAGAGGCGAAAGCUAGGGUAGCAAAAGGGAUUAGAUACCCCUGUAGUCCUAGCCGUAAACGAUGGAUACUAGAUGUUGUGCUUAUUUGUACAGUAUGGUAGCUAACGCGUUAAGUAUCCCGCCUGGGGAGUACGCUCGCAAGGGUGAAACUCAAAGGAAUUGACGGGGGCCCGCACAAGCGGUGGAGCAUGUGGUUUAAUUCGAUGCAACGCGAAGAACCUUACCAGGGCUCCCCCCCACUACAGAUCUUUUUGAGAAAGAAGAGUGCCUUCGGGAAUGUAGAUACAGGUGGUGCAUGGCUGUCGUCAGCUCGUGUCGUGAGAUGUUGGGUUAAGUCCCGCAACGAGCGCAACCCUCGUUUUUAGUUGCCA
rnacentral:rRNA from 1 species